rnacentral:rRNA from 1 species
ACAGAUGGGAGCUUGCUCCCUGAUGUUAGCGGCGGACGGGUGAGUAACACGUGGGUAACCUGCCUGUAAGACUGGGAUAACUCCGGGAAACCGGGGCUAAUACCGGAUGGUUGUUUGAACCGCAUGGUUCAAACAUAAAAGGUGGCUUCGGCUACCACUUACAGAUGGACCCGCGGCGCAUUAGCUAGUUGGUGAGGUAAUGGCUCACCAAGGCAACGAUGCGUAGCCGACCUGAGAGGGUGAUCGGCCACACUGGGACUGAGACACGGCCCAGACUCCUACGGGAGGCAGCAGUAGGGAAUCUUCCGCAAUGGACGAAAGUCUGACGGAGCAACGCCGCGUGAGUGAUGAAGGUUUUCGGAUCGUAAAGCUCUGUUGUUAGGGAAGAACAAGUACCGUUCGAAUAGGGCGGUACCUUGACGGUACCUAACCAGAAAGCCACGGCUAACUACGUGCCAGCAGCCGCGGUAAUACGUAGGUGGCAAGCGUUGUCCGGAAUUAUUGGGCGUAAAGGGCUCGCAGGCGGUUUCUUAAGUCUGAUGUGAAAGCCCCCGGCUCAACCGGGGAGGGUCAUUGGAAACUGGGGAACUUGAGUGCAGAAGAGGAGAGUGGAAUUCCACGUGUAGCGGUGAAAUGCGUAGAGAUGUGGAGG